UAGACAAAGCUGACCGAUGGUCCCACG
rnacentral:piRNA from 1 species